GGGGACAGGAUGACAGGUGGUGCAUGGUUGUCGUCAGCUCGUGUCGUGAGAUGUUGGGUUAAGUCCCGCAACGAGCGCAACCCUUAUCAUUAGUUGCUAACAUUUAGUUGAGCACUCUAGUGAGACUGCCCGGGUUAACCGGGAGGAAGGUGGGGAUGACGUCAAAUCAUCAUGCCCCUUAUGUCUAGGGCUACACACGUGCUACAAUGGUGGGGACAAAAAGAUGCAAUACCGCAAGGUGGAGCAAAACUCAAAACCCCAUCCCAGUUCGGAUUGUAGGCUGAAACUCGCCUACAUGAAGCCGGAGUUGCUAGUAAUCGCGAAUCAGAAUGUCGCGGUGAAUACGUUCCCGGGUCUUGUACACACCGCCCGUCACACCAUGAGAGUCGGCAACACCCGAAGCCCGUGAGGUAACCUUUUGGAACCAGCGGUCGAAGGUGGGGUUGAUAAUUGGGGUAAAGUCGUAACAAGGUAGCCGUAGGAGAACCUGCGGCUGGAUCACCUCCUUUCUAAGGA
rnacentral:rRNA from 1 species